rnacentral:rRNA from 1 species
CCAGCACCCCGAGUGGUCGGACGAUUAUUGGGCCUAAAGCAUCCGUAGCCGGUUUUACAAGUCCUCCGUUAAAUCCAACUGCUUAACAGAUGGGCCGCGGAGGAUACUAUAAGACUAGGAGGCAGGAGAGGCAAGCGGUACUCAGUGGUAGGGGUAAAAUCCGUUGAUCCAUUGAAGACCACCAGUGGCGAAGGCGGCUUGCCAGAAUGCGCUCGACGGUGAGGGAUGAAAGCUGGGGGAGCAAACCGGAUUAGAUACCCGGGUAGUCCCAGCUGUAAACGAUGCAGACUCGGUGAUGGACUAGCUUUAUGCUAGUCCAGUGCCGCAGGGAAGCCGUUAAGUCUGCCGCCUGGGUAGUACGGUCGCAAGACUG